GACAAUCAUGUACAGACUUCCGGUAAAUUGACUUGAUCUCUAUUGAAAAUAUUUCCGAAGCCUGUCAGCAUGCCAAGUGUUCUUGAUCUCGGAACCAUCUAAUGCCUUUAACCGGUAAGUGCCUGGCUUUGAUACUUCGAUCACCUCAUACGGCCCUUCCCAGUUUGGCAUUAACUUUCCCGUAUUUUGAGGCGUAGAGGCUUCGGCUUCUCUGAGGACGAAGUCCCCCACUUCGAAUCUGCGAAGUUUGACUCCUUUGUUGUAAUGCUUAGCUACUUUUCGUUGAUAAGCAACUAAUUUGAGUAAAGCUACCUCUCUGAUCCUGCUGAAGAACCGCAACUGCUCGAUCGGACGUCUCAGCCUCUGGCAACUCGGCAUCUGCUUCGGUAAACGAACAUUCCACCAUAAAAUCGGCUAAGGCUUGAC
rnacentral:lncRNA from 1 species